rnacentral:rRNA from 1 species
AUUGAACGCUGGCGGCAGGCCCAACACAUGCAAGUCGGACGGUAGCACAGAGAGCUUGCUCUUGGGUGACGAGUGGCGGACGGGUGAGUAAUGUCUGGGGAUCUGCCCGAUAGAGGGGGAUAACCACUGGAAACGGUGGCUAAUACCGCAUAACGUCGCAAGACCAAAGAGGGGGACCUUCGGGCCUCUCACUAUCGGAUGAACCAAGAUGGGAUUAGCUAGUAGGCGGGGUAAUGGCCCACCUAGGCGACGAUCCCUAGCUGGUCUGAGAGGAUGACCAGCCACACUGGAACUGAGACACGGUCCAGACUCCUACGGGAGGCAGCAGUGGGGAAUAUUGCACAAUGGGCGCAAGCCUGAUGCAGCCAUGCCGCGUGUAUGAAGAAGGCCUUCGGGUUGUAAAGUACUUUCAGCGGGGAGGAAGGCGGUGAGGUUAAUAACCUCACCGAUUGACGUUACCCGCAGAAGGAGCACCGGCUAACUCCGUGCCAGCAGCAGCCGCCG